rnacentral:rRNA from 1 species
GACGAACGCUGGCGGCGUGCUUAACACAUGCAAGUCGAACGGUAAGGCCCUUCGGGGUACACGAGUGGCGAACGGGUGAGUAACACGUGGGUGAUCUGCCCUGCACUUCGGGAUAAGCCUGGGAAACUGGGUCUAAUACCGGAUAGGACCACUGCCUACAUGGGUGGUGGGGGAAAGCUUUUGCGGUGUGGGAUGGGCCCGCGGCCUAUCAGCUUGUUGGUGGGGUGAUGGCCUACCAAGGCGACGACGGGGAGCCGGCCUGAGAGGGUGACCGGCCACACUGGGACUGAGAUACGGCCCAGACUCCUACGGGAGGCAGCAGUGGGGAAUAUUGCACAAUGGGCGCAAGCCUGAUGCAGCGACGCCGCGUGAGGGAUGACGGCCUUCGGGUUGUAAACCUCUUUCAGCACCGACGAAGCGCAAGUGACGGUAGGUGCAGAAGAAGGACCGGCCAACUACGUGCCAGCAGCCGCGGUAA